rnacentral:rRNA from 1 species
GUCCUGAAGGAACGUUGAAGACGACGACGUUGAUAGGCCGGGUGUGUAAGCGCAGCGAUGCGUUGAGCUAACCGGUACUAAUGAGCCGUGAGGCUUAACCUU